rnacentral:rRNA from 1 species
CAAUAGCGUAUAUUAAAGUUGUUGCAGUUAAAAAGCUCGUAGUUGAAUUUCUGGCGGGCGUGCCGGUCUUCCAAGUGUUGUGCUGGGCGCAGUCCGCCAUCCUUGUGGAGAGGGCUCGCAUUGAGUUGCGUGUCGGAUCUGCAUCAUUUACUGUGAAAAAAUUAGAGUGUUCAAAGCAGGCCUUUUCGCUUGAAUACAUUAGCAUGGAAUAAUAGAAUAGGACUUUGGUUCUAUUUUGUUGGUUUCUAGGACCGAAGUAAUGAUUAAUAGGGAUAGUUGGGGGCAUUAGUAUUUAAUUGUCAGAGGUGAAAUUCUUGGAUUUAUGAAAGACUAACAUCUGCGAAAGCAUUUGCCAAGGAUGUUUUCAUUGA